AAAGGAUUGGCUCUUAGGGCUGGGGAGGUUGGGCCUUAGAUUUGAAGGAGCCACUUCAGACCGGAUCGGUGGAGCGCAAGCUUAGCUGAGAACGUUUGGAUGUGUGCUCUGGACGGUUUUUGGUAGUCUUCGGGCGUCCUCCUCCUAGUACAGCUAACUAAGAACUGGAGCGGACAAGGGGAAUCCGACUGUUUAAUUAAAACAAAGCAUUGCGA
rnacentral:rRNA from 1 species